AUUGAACGCUGGCGGCAUGCCUUACACAUGCAAGUCGAACGGCAACACGGGUGCUGGCGCCUGGUGGCGAGUGGCGGACGGGUGAGACAUACAUAGGAACAUGACCGGGAGGGGUGGAGAGGCGGACGAAAGCCGGAUUACUACCACGAACGACGUACGGAUGAGAGGGGGGUACGGUCGGGGCGCGGGCGGAGGGGUCGAUGGCUGAUUAGCUAGUUGGUGGGAUAAAGGCCUACCAAGCCGACGAUCGGUAGCUGGUCUGAGAGGACGACCAGCCACACUGGGACUGAGACACGGCCCAGACUCCUACGGGAGGCAGCAGUGGGGAAUUUUGGACAAUGGGCGAAAGCCUGAUCCAGCAAUGCCGCGUGUAUGAAGAAGGCCUUCGGGUUGUAAAGCACUUUUGUACGGAAAGAAAUGCUUGGCCCUAAUACGGUCGGGGGAUGACGGUACCGGAAGAAUAAGCACCGGCUAACUACGUG
rnacentral:rRNA from 1 species